GCUUCUGGUUACACGGUUUUUAUCCUUCGUUAUUAUGGCUCGUGUUCUGGCUUGGGACAUCCAGCUGCAUGGCAAAACAGUGUUUCUGUACUACACCAAGUGGACCUUUGCAUUAGUCGUCUUCUAUUUCGCGCUUGGCACAAUAGCAUCGGCACAAGGAUGUUUGGUGAACUCGAGGAAACCUGUCAA